UUUAUUACCUGGCAGGGGAGAUACCACGAUCAUGAAGGUGGUUUUCCCAGGGUGAGGCUUAGCCAUUGCACUUCGGGUGUCCUGACCCCUGUGAUCUCCCCAAAUGUGGGAAACUCGACUGCAUAACUUGUGGUAAUGGGGGACUGCUUUCACACCUUCCCUUA
ensembl:snRNA U1 U1 spliceosomal RNA